rnacentral:lncRNA from 1 species
UUCCAAGCAUUAAUUUCAUUCCAGCAAGGAAACUUAAAAGCAAUUGACAACAACUUCCAUUUUCAUUCCUCACAAGCAAUGUUAAACAAAGGCUAACAAAAAAAAUAAAAUAAAAUCGGUGUGGCCCCUACUGCCCUACAUUCACAUUCAAGAAAGCUCUAAAAAGAAAUAAAAACAAAAGGUGCGGCUUCUUCCUUCACCCCUGUAUACCAACAUUCAAAAUCCCGAGGCAAAGAAAGAAAAUGUCAAAAGCUUUUUCCUCCUAUUUUUUAUUCAAUAAAGAAAACUCAAGAGCAAAACAAAAUGNUGCAGUCAAUUAAAAGAAAAAAAAAAGGAAUUACUUUCUUUAUNUAACCCAUGGAGCCAAAACCGAGAGUCACAUUUUUCCUCNAGAAAACGUUUCANCAUCACCCCCAAUAUCUCAAAUGAAAAUNUGUACCCCCCCUUAAGAGUGACGGUUGGAAGCUCUCCUAAAAGUGAGGGUGGGGUCCACCGUAAGAAAAUGAAACCCUAGAGUUAGGCCAUUUGUCCCACAAAAUUGGGCCUUUACAUUUUUGCCACUAAAGGGCCCAUUGCACAUAAGCUUAAUUAAAGUUUUCUAAUCAACUAAGUUAUAAUUUAAUUAAAAAUGAAAUGUCUGAUUGUUGAGUCUUGAAUUGAUUUUGUGUCCUCCAAAUGUCCCAAAUUGUGUUUCCAAAAAUUUUCCCUGAAAAUAAUAAUGCAAAUAAUUAGCUCAGAAAAUUCAAAUUAAUUAAAAUUAGAAUUUCCGGCCAAAUUAAGCAUAAUUAAGAAAAACGGGAAAAUACCGAACAAUUAAGCACAAUUCCCUGAUUAAUUCUAGCACAAUAAACUAAGUGAAAUCAAUAAAAUAUUGACUCGUCAAAAUAGACCACACUUAGUCUUUUGCACUCCUGGGCAAAAUCAAGACGCAAAACANGNAACAGUUCAACGGACAUCAGGGAAUUGACACAGACUCAGCAGACAGAAUUACAGUCCUCAAGAAAUCUGGACAAGGAAAAGUAGUAGACAGUAUCCACACAGAAUCAGAGAAAACAGAUACUCAGAGAAAUCAUCCACGCAAUUCCAAGCAUGGCAAAAUAAUCAAUCAAUUCAAGAGGUAAAUCAAAAGUUACAGAACCUCACAGAUGCACUAUUAGUGUUUAUCUCGAGUGUCUAGGGUAAGCAAUUUCAACUCAAUGCACUCAAGAAAGCAAACACAAACAGACUUGGCAGGCCUUUAAUAUCAACACUCAAAACAUAUGCAUGUUCAAAUCAAAAGGUCUUUUAUNGAUGCAAUGGGGCCAAGGACAAGGGAGGAUAAAUAUUGGAUGAGAAGCUACAAACCAAAAGAAAUAGAGGAGCAAUGGGGAACAAGUGAAAACUCAGUCAAAUCACACCCAAAACCUCUAAUUCAAUCCUCUUCUUGACUCCAUUAUUCACACAAUUUUUUUUAAUUUUUCUCAUUUUUUUGUAUAUUUUUUUUCAUCUUGUCUCUUUUUUCUUCUCUUUUUUUUCAGAACACAACUCUAAGAGACAAGAUACACAACAUAUUUAUAAAAACAAAAACAAGAAGAGGAACCAACUAGCCAAUUCAUCUGAAUCUCCCAAGAGACCACACUUAUUCCCAAAACAAUUCCAAAGCUCCAAAAUUCCCUAAGGUUAAGGUAAACAUGGUUUUUCACUUAAGGAUAAUUAAUGAGCUUGAAAACAAAGAAUAGGGGAAAGUAUAGGCUUAAAGGGGUUAUCAAAGGAUUAGAACAAGGUAGGCUCAUCUGGCUAGAGAGGCUCAACAACAAAACUGCCUUUAUCAUUUCCAAACAUGCAUAUCAAUCAAAAAUCAUCAAAAAGAGUCAAGUCAAGGCAUAUGUGCAAGCAAUCAACAGAUAUAUCACACAAGAAAGAACAUAAAGUGGCUCAAUUCUCACACAAGGUAUUCUGUCACAAUCAAAUCAACCUCCCAAACAUCAUAAUCAUCUUUCCAAGCAAAGAAAAACAAGGAAUCCAACAAAUUAGAGUAUCAAUGAAUUGAAAGACACAUCUACAACCUAAACAAAGUCCAGAAUUCAAGUGAAACAUGCAAAACUGUAUAUAAGACGAAACAAAAAAUACCUAGAAAACAAAAAAUUUAACGCAGAAAACAUAAACUAAAGAAAAUAGAAAUCUCCCCCAAUAGACCACACUUAAACUACACAAUGUCCUCAGUGUGUCACAAUCAUCAGAUUCACAAUCAGAAUAGUCAAAAGAUAUAGGCAAAGUGCAAUAAAGUGGGAAAAGGAGGAGAGGGGAAAAGAAAAACUCCUCUGAUCAAGGUGGCAUUUGCCAAUUUUGGACUUUCAGGGAGAUCUCUUCCACCACCAGAUUCAGCCAAGAAGUCUUGAGGAGGAACUGCUUUAGUCUCCAAAUUUGAUCAAGCAGGGAGAUGUCCUCCACAGCUGGAUCUAAGAAGCAGUGAUCGUUGACGAGCAGGUUCAGUUGGCGCCUAUUGAUCUUCAAACUGUCGGCACCUUUGUCUUCCACCAUGGGUGUGUGUUGAUCAAAUUCAUAUGUACCUCCUGCAACAUGGUUAGUGCAAUAUGGUUCCACAAAAAUAACAUGCAGAGGUAUAACACCCAAUCCCAGUGUAACAGGCUGAACCUCAGAUAAACUCUCAGAACAUGAAUCAAUUUCAAAUGUAGAAACAAUAUCAACAACAGGCUCAAAUUCAUGUUCAGUGCAUGGAGAACAAACAUUCAGAUGUGAUAACAAAAAGUGGUUCUCAUCAUGCAGAGACAGAGAAUUAGAAGCAUGCUCACCAACAAUAUAAUCAUCAACAAUAUACAAAGAAAGAUGUUGCUUCUCUCUUUUCCAAACAAACUGCUACAGCGGUAGCUCUCCUUCCACUGUCAAAUGUUGUAUGUGUGGCAUUGGGAUGGAAACCUCUGGCUCGCUCAAAGUAGUAUCAAUACACUCUCCUUCAUCAACCAUGAAUUCCUUAAUGACAACACCUGCAUUAUCAUUUAAUUCUACAACAUGGUCAUCAAACUCAUAGUUAGUCUCAUCCAUUAUAAACUUGGAAGUUGGUUGUAUAACAGAAUUGAUUUCAACACAAAUAGAGCAAGAACCAACUUCACAACUACAUUUAAAAUUUUCAGAAAACUGUGAAAGGUCAAAAUUUAAUCCCAACACUAGAACAUCAUCAAUUUUCACAGUUUCUGUAUCAAAAUCAGCACUAACAUGUGAAUCUGCAGGAGAAUCAAGAAUAUUUGAAUGCAUAAACAACUCAGGCAAAGCAAGUGGGAUUUCAAGUGUAGAGAAAACCUGUGUUGAUUCAUGUUUCACCUCAUCAAUAACAUCAGAAUUAGCAACUGUAUCCUCAGGGCUAUCAUAUAAAUCAAGAUCAGUGCAAGGAUAGUGAACAUCAGGUAUGUCAAUGUGCUCUGUAGGGAGUAAUGAAUCCAGAACAUGAGUGUGCACAUGCAUGUUAAUAUCAGAAUCCAGAUGAGGCUUAAUGGGUAAAAGCAUUAAAAUUUUCUUGAACCUUAGAUACAUGAAUAGGGAUUUCAAGUUCAGAGUAAGCUUAGGUUCUUCCCUUACUACCUGAAUUGGAUUUUCACCAGUCAACUUGCAGAAUAGCUUCCUUGCCUCUGUUGGAGUUAUGUGCAGAAAAGAUCCACCAGCAGCUACAUCCACAAAUAUCCUUUCAUUGCCUAUGAGCCCUUCAUAGAAGUAAAGCAAGAGCAAAUGCUCAGGGAUCUGGUGAUUCGGACAAGCUGAGCAAAGCCCAUUGAAUCGCUCCCAAUAUUCCGCUAGGCUUUCUUCUUGAAACUGCACAAUGGUAGUAAUCUCCCUCCUAAUGCUGCUUACCUUUGCUGCUGGGAAGAACUUGUUGAGGAAUCCUUGCUGUGUUUCCUGCCAGCUAUCAAAAGGACGAUACCGCUGAUCUAGGAACCAGUCUUUUGCUGCACCUUGAAGAGACAUUGGAAACACUUUCAUCCGUACUUUCUCCUCUGAAACACCAGUAGGCCUCAUGGAUGAGCACACCCAACUAAACUCCUUGAGGUGCUUGUGUGCAUUUUCAUGUGUCAGCCCAUGGAACUUGGGAAGCCUCUUGAUCAGCUCACACAUCAAGUCUACAAAAUUUGUCAUCUCCUCUAUUCUCGUGCAAAACAUGUCUCAAACCUGGACUUCCACUUCAAGCAAGGAUUAUACCAAACAUACAGAAGCAUAAUAUAGAGGAAAACCAUUAUUUACAGACUUUGGAAUUUCCAAAAACAACAACUAAAUGCACAGAAUAACAAAAUGAUAAAAACCUAAACACACAAAAACUACUAAAAGAAAUAAACCGAAACAAGACUAACUAAACACCCUAAAUCUCAACACAACACAGCUAAACAUGCAACACGCACACACAAUAACACAGACACAAAACAUAACAUCACACUCACAACACAAGACAAAACACAAUACACACUAACACAACAAAAUACCUAAAACCGAACUGUUGGUCCCCGGCAACGACGCCAAAAUUUUGAUGGGUGUCGCGGCCCAUACAAAUUUGAUUGCAUAUUAGAAAUGCAGUAUAACUAGGAAGUGACUCCUAGUUCGUCUCUCAAGGACCAACUGCAGUUUGAGACUUAGGUCUAAAACAUAGUGGGGGGUUUUGAAGGUGUUUUUGUGAAUGCAACUAAAUUAAAGCACGAUGUUAAACCUAACUAACAUAAUUGAAAAGGUUGGAUAUUAGAGCUAACAUAACAACUAAAUCAUCACAACUAAAAAAAUAUAAAACAUUAAAGUAAAUGAAAAUGCUUAAACCCAACUACUAACACAUGUCUAAACAUAAUUAAAGCACUUAAAAUGUAACACUUAAGAUAAAAUAUUAAAUGCACUAUGCAACUAUAAUAAUAAAAGGAACGCUUGGCUAAUGACGAAAUGCACAUUAAAUUUUAGAAUAAAAUAAACUAUGCUUAGCAAAUAAUUAAAAUGCAUGGCAACUAAAAACAAAACGUUUAAGCUAUUAAUUAAAAUGCACAUUCCAGCAGAAGAAAAUAGUGUCAUGCGUUUUCUCCAAGAUAAAUGAUGGCAAGCUAUUAAUUAAAAUACACCUACUCCGAAUUAAUUCAUUACUUGAAAAUUCUAAAGGAAAUAAAAGAUGGUGCUUCCACAAUUUUAACGUAACAACCCCUCCAAAAUGAAAAUAAAAAAAAAUGCACAUUCUUCACAAACUUCAAUCACCAGUAGCUACAGGACAUGACCGUACUUAAAAAAAACAAUAAUGAAAAGCCAAAUAGUAAAAGGAAUUAAAGUCCAACAUCACUCAAAAUCAAUCUUGAAAUCUCGUAUGCUUCCUUCAAUGAAAAAAAUUUCCCAACCAAAGCCUUGAAUUUUUGCAUUCAAUAAAUAAAAAAAAAAACAUCACUUCCAAGCAUUAAUUUCAUUCCAGCAAGGAAACUUAAAAGCAAUUGACAACAACUUCCAUUUUCAUUCCUCACAAGCAAUGUUAAACAAAGGCUAACAAAAAAAAUAAAAUAAAAUCGGUGUGGCCCCUACUGCCCUACAUUCACAUUCAAGAAAGCUCUAAAAAGAAAUAAAAACAAAAGGUGCGGCUUCUUCCUUCACCCCUGUAUACCAACAUUCAAAAUCCC